rnacentral:rRNA from 1 species
UACGGAGGCAGCAGUGAGGAAUAUUGGUCAAUGGACGCAAGUCUGAACCAGCCACGUCGCGUGAAGGAAGACGGCCCUACGGGUUGUAAACUUCUUUUGUAAGGGAAUAAAGUGAUUCACGUGUGUUUCAUUGCAUGUACCUUACGAAUAAGGAUCGGCUAACUCCGUGCCAGCAGCCGCGGUAAUA